rnacentral:lncRNA from 1 species
AUGUGUUAGAUUUUAUCCAAUGAUAAAUUUUGAUGAUAACAAACAGAUUUUAGAUUUAAUUUGUUAUUUAGCAAUUUCAGGUUGUAAUUGAAUUUAAAGCGGCUCAAGUUGAACCGGAUUUGAUCAAAGGUAACGAUUCAAUCAAUUUAUUCAAAUUGGCCCGGACAAGAUCAAAUUGUACCAAAUUGGAUGCAAGUGCCACAACAAUAAUUUGGAGGACUUCUUUACAAUUUGUUAGAUUUGAGCCGGUCAACUUAGUCAAGUUGACCAAUUCACCUUUUGGGUUUUAUUUGAGCUUAAUGUUAAAUUAGCCAUUAUUUUAAUAUAGUAUGAAAGUGAUUUUAUGUAUGGUAUAAAUUCAAAUUUGAUUUUAAUAUAGUAUGAAUUUAAAAAAUAUGAAAUAUGAUAUAAAUGAGUUUUAUAAGUAUUGUAUUAUUUUAAAAGCUUUUACAAAUGUGGAAUUAAUUCAAAAAGUUUUUCAUUUAUAGUAUUAAUUUAAAAGGAUUUUAUAAAUUUAGUAUAAUUUCAAAUGAGCUUUUCAAUAUAGUAAUAUUUCAAAUGAGUUUUGCAAAUGUGGUAUGAAUUUGAAUUUUAUAAAUUUAGUAUAAUUUCAAAUGAGCUUUUCAAUAUAGUAAUAUUUCAAAUGUUUUGCAAAUGUGGUAUGAAUUCGAAUUUAUUUUGGAAUUAAUUCAAAUGCAUUUGCAAAUAUGGUUAAAAUUCAAAUUGAAAUCAAUUAUAAUUUAAUUAUGCUUUUGUUCCAUUUUUGAAAUGAUGGCUAGUGUAUUUAAAGGGGGGCUUGGAUGUUGUUUGUGACACAACUUCAGAAAAAUUCUCUAAGUCCUAAUUGUUCAUAUGAUUUGUAAUUGUGA